GUAUAAAACAGUAGAAUAAUCAAAUUAUCGAACUACAACGAGUACACAAGAGAGCAGAGAGAUCGGAGGAUGGAGGCCGUGGCCUGCAGCAGUCACCGAUGGGUUGGACGGAUUGAUUCACAGUCACACGAAGGAGACUUGGAGAGAGCAAGUGUGGAGAGAGAGAGGCCGGAGGGCUGAAUGGAGGGUGUACAAAGUCGGAAGAGAGAAAGCAAGAGAGGCUGAACUUUGGAGGAGGGAGACGGCAUCCGUGAGGCUGGCCGAUGGUGGGCAGUUGCAGACGGUAAAAAGCAAGGCCCAGAG
rnacentral:lncRNA from 1 species